UAAUCCGAAUAAACCAUCAAUUUAGUCUCUAAAUUACACAAAUAUAUAAAACCCGUCAAUUUAGUCUCUCAAUUGUAUGAUAAUCCGUCAAUUUAGUCUAACAUCUAGAUAGCAAAGACUAAAUUGACGGAUUUUAUAUAAUUCAGGGACUGUUUAUUAUAUAUACUUGUUUAGUUUAGGGACUUAAUUGAAUACGUGAUUUUUAGGGACUAAAUUGAUGGUUUAUUCUUUUUA
rnacentral:pre_miRNA from 1 species